rnacentral:rRNA from 1 species
CCCAAUGAGUAAUUUUAAUGGCCGCAGUAUUUUGACUGUGCAAAGGUAGCAUAAUCAUUAGUUUCUUAAUUAGGAACUGGAAUGAAGGGUUGGACGAGAAAAUAACUGUCUCUUUAUAAAAUUUUUAGAAUUUUAUUUUUAAGUUAAAAAGCUUAAAUUUACUUAAAAGACGAGAAGACCCUAUAGAGUUUUAUAUAAAGUUUAAUUUAAUAUUAAAAGUUGAUUUGUUAUUUAAUUUAUUUUAAAUUAUAUUUUAUUGGGGUGRUAGAAAAAUUUGAUUAACUUUAAUUUUAUUAAAACAUUAAUUUAUGAUUUGUUGAUCCAUUAUUUAUGAUUAAAAGAUUAAAUUACCUUAGGGAUAACAGCGUUAUUUCUUUUUAGAGUUCUUAUCGAUAAAGAAGUUUGCGACCUCGAUGUUGGAUUAAAAUAUAAUUUUGGUGUAGAAGCUAGAAUAUUUAGGUCUGUUCGACCUUUAAAAUUUUACAUGAUCUGAGUUUAAACCGGUGUAAGCCAGGUUGGUUUCUAUCUUUAAAAAUGAUUUGAUGUUUUAGUACGAAAGGACCAAAUAUCUAUAAAAUUUAUUUUUUAUUGAAUAUUAUUAAUUGGA